AGAGCGAGAGCGAGACAGCGCCAGAGAGAAUUAGCUACAACAGAAGGGAGAGCGAUGGAGAUUCCCGUGAUCCCGGAGCAGGAAGCAGAGCCGCAGGAAUUGGGAUACCCCAUGGCGAUCACAGUAACAAGCCAUUUGGACAAUGAGAACAGUGUGAGAGAGUUGGAGGAGGAGAAGAUCGAAAUGCUGGAGGUAAGGCUGAGGUUUCUGUUCACUCAGAAGGUUUGAGCUUCAAGCUCAAGAUCAGCGCUGAGUCUUCAGAGUCGGAUCUGGGGGGGAAGCAUUCCAUCAUGAGAGGUGCCAUCAAUCAGAUUAGAUGUUAAUACCAGAUGUCUGCCUGGUCAGGUGGACAUUAAAGAUU